rnacentral:rRNA from 1 species
AACGAACGCUGGCGGCGUGCUUAAUACAUGCAAGUCGUGCGAGAACGUCCGGCUUCGGUUGGACUAGUAAAGCGGCGAACGGGUGAGUAACACGUGAGGAACAUGCCCCUAUGUCUGGGAUAAGCCUGCGAAAGCGGGUCUAAUACCAGAUUCAGUCGGAGACUGGCAUCUUUUUCCGACUAAAGGCGGUUGAGUCUAUGCCGCCGCAGAGGGAUUGCCUCGCGCUCCAUUAGCUUGAUGGUAGGGUAACGGCCUACCAUGGCUGCGAUGGAUAGCCGACCUGAGAGGGUGACCGGCCACACUGGGACUGAGAUACGGCCCAGACUCCUACGGGAGGCAGCAGUAGGGAAUAUUGCACAAUGGGCGCAAGCCUGAUGCAGCAACGCCGCGUGGACGAUGAAGCUCCUUGGAGUGUAAAGUCCUGUCAG